rnacentral:tRNA from 1 species
UGUCAUGGGGCGGGAAUCGAACCCACACCCUUCUGCUUACCGGGCAGGUGCCUUGUCCCCUCGGCUACCCUGGAC